rnacentral:rRNA from 1 species
GUGCCAGCAGCCGCGGUAAUACGGAGGGGGUUAGCGUUGUUCGGAAUUACUGGGCGUAAAGCGUACGUAGGCGGAUCAGAAAGUUGGGGGUGAAAUCCCGGGGCUCAACCCUGGAACUGCCUCUUAAACUCCUGGUCUUGAGUUCGAGAGAGGUGAGUGGAAUUCCAAGUGUAGAGGUGAAAUUCGUAGAUAUUUGGAGGAACACCAGUGGCGAAGGCGGCUCACUGGCUCGAUACUGACGCUGAGGUACGAAAGUGUGGGGAGCAAACAGGAUUAGAUACCCUGGUAGUCCACACCGUAAACGAUGAAUGCCAGUCGUCGGGCAGUAUACUGUUCGGUGACACACCUAACGGAUUAAGCAUUCCGCCUGGGGAGUACGGUCGCAAGAUUAAAACUCAAAGGAAUUGACGG